CCUGUGGAAAUGGAACAGAAGAAUAAAGCAAUGUUCAAGCAUUCAAAGAACAUCCUUAAAAAGCUGGAAUAGGAUGAUAACAUUGUCCUCUGCAGGAAUAAUUAAAAACAGGUAGAACUGAAAACCCAUUUUUCUCCACUGUUGCUACGAAACUUAUAAAGGCAUUCACUUUGACCGCUGUUGGAAAUGGGAUCCUGAGCCUGUUUGGACUCCGGCGCAACCCAGUAUGGUCUUUUUUCUAUCUUUAAGGAUGGUGGCUGGAUCCCACUGUUA